rnacentral:rRNA from 1 species
GGUUAAGCGACUAAGCGUACACGGUGGAUGCCCUGGCAGUCAGAGGCGAUGAAGGACGUGCUAAUCUGCGAUAAGCGUCGGUAAGGUGAUAUGAACCGUUAUAACCGGCGAUUUCCGAAUGGGGAAACCCAGUGUGUUUCGACACACUAUCAUUAACUGAAUCCAUAGGUUAAUGAGGCGAACCGGGGGAACUGAAACAUCUAAGUACCCCGAGGAAAAGAAAUCAACCGAGAUUCCCCCAGUAGCGGCGAGCGAACGGGGAGCAGCCCAGAGCCUGAAUCAGUGUGUGUGUUAGUGGAAGCGUCUGGAAAGGCGCGCGAUACAGGGUGACAGCCCCGUACACAAAAAUGCACAUGCUGUGAGCUCGAUGAGUAGGGCGGGACACGUGGUAUCCUGUCUGAAUAUGGGGGGACCAUCCUCCAAGGCUAAAUACUCCUGACUGACCGAUAGUGAACCAGUACCGUGAGGGAAAGGCGAAAAGAACCCCGGCGAGGGGAGUGAAAAAGAACCUGAAACCGUGUACGUACAAGCAGUGGGAGCACGCUUAGGCGUGUGACUGCGUACCUUUUGUAUAAUGGGUCAGCGACUUAUAUUCUGUAGCAAGGUUAACCGAAUAGGGGAGCCGAAGGGAAACCGAGUCUUAACUGGGCGUUAAGUUGCAGGGUAUAGACCCGAAACCCGGUGAUCUAGCCAUGGGCAGGUUGAAGGUUGGGUAACACUAACUGGAGGACCGAACCGACUAAUGUUGAAAAAUUAGCGGAUGACUUGUGGCUGGGGGUGAAAGGCCAAUCAAACCGGGAGAUAGCUGGUUCUCCCCGAAAGCUAUUUAGGUAGCGCCUCGUGAAUUCAUCUCCGGGGGUAGAGCACUGUUUCGGCAAGGGGGUCAUCCCGACUUACCAACCCGAUGCAAACUGCGAAUACCGGAGAAUGUUAUCACGGGAGACACACGGCGGGUGCUAACGUCCGUCGUGAAGAGGGAAACAACCCAGACCGCCAGCUAAGGUCCCAAAGUCAUGGUUAAGUGGGAAACGAUGUGGGAAGGCCCAGACAGCCAGGAUGUUGGCUUAGAAGCAGCCAUCAUUUAAAGAAAGCGUAAUAGCUCACUGGUCGAGUCGGCCUGCGCGGAAGAUGUAACGGGGCUAAACCAUGCACCGAAGCUGCGGCAGCGACGCUUAUGCGUUGUUGGGUAGGGGAGCGUUCUGUAAGCCUGUGAAGGUGUGCUGUGAGGCAUGCUGGAGGUAUCAGAAGUGCGAAUGCUGACAUAAGUAACGAUAAAGCGGGUGAAAAGCCCGCUCGCCGGAAGACCAAGGGUUCCUGUCCAACGUUAAUCGGGGCAGGGUGAGUCGACCCCUAAGGCGAGGCCGAAAGGCGUAGUCGAUGGGAAACAGGUUAAUAUUCCUGUACUUGGUGUUACUGCGAAGGGGGGACGGAGAAGGCUAUGUUGGCCGGGCGACGGUUGUCCCGGUUUAAGCGUGUAGGCUGGUUUUCCAGGCAAAUCCGGAAAAUCAAGGCUGAGGCGUGAUGACGAGGCACUACGGUGCUGAAGCAACAAAUGCCCUGCUUCCAGGAAAAGCCUCUAAGCAUCAGGUAACAUCAAAUCGUACCCCAAACCGACACAGGUGGUCAGGUAGAGAAUACCAAGGCGCUUGAGAGAACUCGGGUGAAGGAACUAGGCAAAAUGGUGCCGUAACUUCGGGAGAAGGCACGCUGAUAUGUAGGUGAAGUCCCUUGCGGAUGGAGCUGAAAUCAGUCGAAGAUACCAGCUGGCUGCAACUGUUUAUUAAAAACACAGCACUGUGCAAACACGAAAGUGGACGUAUACGGUGUGACGCCUGCCCGGUGCCGGAAGGUUAAUUGAUGGGGUUAGCGGUAACGCGAAGCUCUUGAUCGAAGCCCCGGUAAACGGCGGCCGUAACUAUAACGGUCCUAAGGUAGCGAAAUUCCUUGUCGGGUAAGUUCCGACCUGCACGAAUGGCGUAAUGAUGGCCAGGCUGUCUCCACCCGAGACUCAGUGAAAUUGAACUCGCUGUGAAGAUGCAGUGUACCCGCGGCAAGACGGAAAGACCCCGUGAACCUUUACUAUAGCUUGACACUGAACAUUGAGCCUUGAUGUGUAGGAUAGGUGGGAGGCUUUGAAGUGUGGACGCCAGUCUGCAUGGAGCCGACCUUGAAAUACCACCCUUUAAUGUUUGAUGUUCUAACGUUGACCCGUAAUCCGGGUUGCGGACAGUGUCUGGUGGGUAGUUUGACUGGGGCGGUCUCCUCCUAAAGAGUAACGGAGGAGCACGAAGGUUGGCUAAUCCUGGUCGGACAUCAGGAGGUUAGUGCAAUGGCAUAAGCCAGCUUGACUGCGAGCGUGACGGCGCGAGCAGGUGCGAAAGCAGGUCAUAGUGAUCCGGUGGUUCUGAAUGGAAGGGCCAUCGCUCAACGGAUAAAAGGUACUCCGGGGAUAACAGGCUGAUACCGCCCAAGAGUUCAUAUCGACGGCGGUGUUUGGCACCUCGAUGUCGGCUCAUCACAUCCUGGGGCUGAAGUAGGUCCCAAGGGUAUGGCUGUUCGCCAUUUAAAGUGGUACGCGAGCUGGGUUUAGAACGUCGUGAGACAGUUCGGUCCCUAUCUGCCGUGGGCGCUGGAGAAUUGAGGGGGGCUGCUCCUAGUACGAGAGGACCGGAGUGGACGCAUCACUGGUGUUCGGGUUGUCAUGCCAAUGGCACUGCCCGGUAGCUAAAUGCGGAAGAGAUAAGUGCUGAAAGCAUCUAAGCACGAAACUUGCCCCGAGAUGAGUUCUCCCUGACUCCUUGAGAGUCCUGAAGGAACGUUGAAGACGACGACGUUGAUAGGCCGGGUGUGUAAGCGCAGCGAUGCGUUGAGCUAACCGGUACUAAUGAACCGUGAGGCUUAACCUU